rnacentral:rRNA from 1 species
CGACCUCAGAUCAGACGAGAUGACCCGCUGAAUUUAA